AUGGCUGCCGAGCCUGGGCCCAAGGCUCCGGGCCUACCUCAGUGCGACGGCAAGCUCCAGCCAACAGGUAAUACCAACUGGGAUUCAUAUGCUACAACAAUGAAGACGGCAUUCACAUAUAAAACAGGAGAAGUGCCAGCUCUAAUUCGUCAAAAAAGUAUCAAAAGAUUAGGAUAUACAUACUCACUUAGUGAUCCAAUUCUGAAUCAGACCCAAUACAAUGAUGAAUAUGUUUGGAAAUCAUAUGUUAAAGAAAAUCUGAUAAAAAAUGAGACUUCAAGACGAGUCAAGAGCUACAAAUUGCACCCCACUCAGGGAUUUCAGUGGACACUACCCAAAGGGCAUUCAAAGAUGACACCAAGAAGCUGCCUCCCUUGGAAAAUCCCUGCCUCCAUGGAAGAAAUUCAGAAGACACUCUCAGACCAGUUUAUUUCCUGUACUAUGAGAGACUUUGUGGACCCAGCCGCAGGACACAGCAGACAGAAAGAGCCCAGGAAAUACUUGUUGAAUGACAGAAUAUAUGGAAAAUACUCUUUGAAGCUGGGAAGGCAUGGGAUUAAAAGACCUCUAUACGUGCAGAUAAACAUUAAAGAUAAUGAGAAAACAUUUGAAAUGCCAACAUUUUUAAAAGACGUCUUUGAGUUCUCAAUCCAAGUUCUCCAUCCAGCAUAAGCAAAUCCUCAUUUCCCUAUGUGCAGGUAAAUACCUAGGACCUGUCAAGAUUCCCUCGUAACUCUCUCAGUUCCAUCUGUUUGUGUCCCUCCCCACUGGCCUGUCUUAGUUCAGACUACCAAUACCUCUCUUUGGAUUACCUGCAACCUAACUCUCUCUCCCCUAGUCUUGUCCCCUCUGAUCUACUGUCCACACUGAGUUUCUGGAUGUGCAAAUUGACAUCACUUUUAGCUUAAAAUCCUUAAGAG
rnacentral:lncRNA from 1 species